rnacentral:rRNA from 1 species
GAUGAACGCUGGCGGCGUGCCUAAUACAUGCCAGUCGAGCGAACGGACGAGAAGCUUGCUUUUCUGAUGUUAGCGGCGGACGGGUGAGUAACACGUGGAUAACCUACCUAUAAGACUGGGAUAACUUCGGGAAACCGGAGCUAAUACCGGAUAAUAUUUUGAACCGCAUGGUUCAAAAGUGGAAGACGGUCUUGCUGUCACUUAUAGAUGGAUCCGCGCUGCAUUAGCUAGUUGGUAAGGUAACGGCUUACCAAGGCAACGAUGCAUAGCCGACCUGAGAGGGUGAUCGGCCACACUGGAACUGAGACACGGUCCAGACUCCUACGGGAGGCAGCAGUAGGGAAUCUUCCGCAAUGGGCGAAAGCCUGACGGAGCAACGCCGCGUGAGUGAUGAAGGUCUUCGGAUCGUAAAACUCUGUUAUUAGGGAAGAACAUAUGUGUAAGUAACUGUGCACAUCUUGACGGUACCUAAUCAGAAAGCCACGGCUAACUACGUG